rnacentral:rRNA from 1 species
GAUGAACGCUGGCGGCGUGCUUAACACAUGCAAGUCGAACGGUGAAGCAGGAGCUUGCUCCUGUGGAUCAGUGGCGAACGGGUGAGUAACACGUGAGCAAUCUGCCCUGGACUCUGGGAUAAGCGUUGGAAACGACGUCUAAUACCGGAUACGAGGCGUGGGGGCAUCCCCAACGCCUGGAAAGAACUUCGGUCCAGGAUGAGCUCGCGGCCUAUCAGGUAGUUGGUGAGGUAACGGCUCACCAAGCCGAAGACGGGUAGCCGGCCUGAGAGGGUGACCGGCCACACUGGGACUGAGACACAGCCCAGACUCCUACGGGAGGCAGCAGUGGGGAAUAUUGCACAAUGGGCGCAAGCCUGAUGCAGCAGCGCCGCGUGAGGGACGACGGCCUUCGGGUUGUAAACCUCUUUUAGCAGGGAAGAAGCGAAAGUGACGGUACCUGCAGAAAAAGCACCGGCUAACUACGUGCCAGCCGCCGCCGUAAAAC